UCUGUCCCUCCGACAGCCGCCGCGCUGGGCGGCUCGGGCGGGCGUGAAGUUUGCAAAAAUAGACCGCAUUAGCACAUUGGAUGCCCACAAAGCGUGAGAUGAGCCCAACUCAGUUCCGUCUGUCGGAACUCUGAGGUUUCGCUGUGGAACAUUUCGUUUUAUUCCUGCUUGAGACGAGACUGCUUGUACCUUAAUUAUAUGUGAACACUAUUGUCAAGCUUUGCAUUCUGUCGUGAUUAGUAAUCGUUUUCCGAUUAAAAACGGUGAAUGUACUGGUUUUCAAAUAAAAUAUGAUCAAUCCUUC